AUUGCGUUUGUACCAGUACAGUCCGCCCAGGUGGAGAAUACUCCUUCCUUGCUAAGAAAACUAUACCCUUGCUGGAUGAGGCCGCAUUUCAAACUGAGCUGAUUGAAUUCCAGACAUCGAGCCAAAUCAGGGAUACACUCAGGAGUGCCGAGUCCCUGUGUCCGUUGUGCGUGGCAUGCUCAGAGGAAUAGAGCACAAUAAAGAAACUUGCAUUUUAUGUGCUAACAAUAUUUGGAUCGACUUACACCUGCGAGUCCUCAUUUUCCUCUCUGAACGCAAUAUAGAUUCACGACAGGAACCGGCUUUCACAUAAGUUAAUCGAGGACUGACUGCACAUCAAAAUCACAUCCAUCCAUAAACCCGACAUCCACAAGAUUGUAUCUGAGGGUUUUCUCCAUCUGUUGGUUUUUGGACAAGGACAUCCCGGUCACGGACAGUGCUAUUCGCAAACACUAUCAUCAGGUGCCUGUGUUACGCCGAACGCAAAACCCCCGUGAAAAUGAACAGCGAGACUAUUCAAGCCAUCGACUCACUGAUGAAUGAAGAUGAUGAGCGAUCGGCAAAGGCCAUCUGUAAUCUGCUGGCAUCACGGCACAUCAACAUCGCUGUAAUCACAGUCAGAAGAUACUGUAUUCAAAUUGCAGGGGGCAAAGACACCAGAUGAGGCUGCUAUGGUGGUGUGACCAGGGGAGACGGAGAAGGCAGUUGGUCCAGAGGAGGCUGCGUUGGUGGUGAUAGACGGGGGGUGGUGUGCAUCGUGGAGGUGGUGGACGAAACCGUCGACGAUGGCUUGGAGGAGCUGGUGUUUGUAAUGGCCCAGGCAUGGAUCAAAGCUGGCGAGAC
rnacentral:lncRNA from 1 species